AGAGUUUGAUCCUGGCUCAGAACGAACGCUGGCGGCGUGCCUAACACAUGCAAGUCGAACGGAGUUGAGGGGCUUGCUCCUCAAUUUAGUGGCGCACGGGUGAGUAACGCGUAGAUAAUCUACCCCCAUAUUUGGGAUAACAGCUCGAAAGGGCUGCUAAUACCGGAUACACUUAUUUGGACGCGAGUUUGAAUGAGGAAAGGUGACCUCUCCAUGGAAGUUACUGUAUAGGGAUGAGUCUGCGUACCAUUAGCUAGUAGGUAGGGUAAAGGCCUACCUAGGCGACGAUGGUUAGCGGGUCUGAGAGGAUGAUCCGCCACACUGGAACUGGGACACGGACCAGACUCCUACGGGAGGCAGCAGUGAGGAAUAUUGCGCAAUGGGGGAAACCCUGACGCAGCGACGCCGCGUGGGUGAUGAAGGCCUUCGGGUUGUAAAGCCCUGUCAGGUGGGAAGAAGUGUGUCAUGGCUAAUAUCCAUGGUAUUUGACGGUACCACCAAAGGAAGCACCGGCUAACUCCGUGCCAGCAGCCGCGGUAAUACGGAGGGUGCAAGCGUUGUUCGGAUUUACUGGGCGUAAAGGGCGCGUAGGCGGUCUUAUAAGUCAUAUGUGAAAGCCCACGGCUCAACCGUGGAAGUGCAUGUGAAACUGUGAGACUUGAAUAUGGGAGAGGAAAGUGGAAUUCCCGGUGUAGAGGUGAAAUUCGUAGAUAUCGGGAGGAAUACCGGUGGCGAAGACGACUUUCUGGACCAAUACUGACGCUGAGGCGCGAAAGCGUGGGUAGCAAACAGGAUUAGAUACCCUGGUAGUCC
rnacentral:rRNA from 1 species